GUGGGGGAUAUUGCACAAUGGGGGAAACCCUGAUGCAGCGACGCCGCGUGAAGGAAGACGUACUUCGGUAUGUAAACUUCUAUCAGCAGGGAAGAAGAUGACGGUACCUGACUAAGAAGCCCCGGCUAACUACGUGCCAGCAGCCGCGGCAAUACGUAGGGGGCAAGCGUUAUCCGGAUUUACUGGGUGUAAAGGGAGCGUAGACGGUGAAGCAAGUCUGAUGUGAAAACCCGGGGCUCAACUCCGGGAUUGCAUUGGCAACUGUUUUACUUGAGUGCUGGAGGGGCAAGCGGAAUUCCUGGUGUAGCGGUGAAAUGCGUAGAUAUCAGGAAGAACACCGGUGGCGAAGGCGGCUUGCUGGACAGUAACUGACGUUGAGGCUCGAAAGCGUGGGGAGCAAACAGGAUUAGAUACCCGAGUAGUCC
rnacentral:rRNA from 1 species